rnacentral:tRNA from 1 species
AAGGGAGACCUAAUUCGGGUAGGAGACGAAAAAAAAGUAGUCCCUACCAAGAAUCAAUCCCAAAAGGUCGGAACGAGGUAUGAGGCUUUCAAACUAGGUUCUGGGUUCAUAAAAGACCUGAAUCAGGAACAAGGGCUAUUAGCUCAGGUGGUUAGAGCGCACCCCUGAUAAGGGUGAGGUCCCUGGUUCGAGUCCAGGAUGGCCCACCUGUACAGGUGGUAAAAAGAAAGAAAAGAAGCGAGGAAUCAGCACCUUAUCUUAUAUACAUAUAUAAGAGAGAAUGCUGGCUCUGAGUACAGAGUCCAGAGGAACCUUGAAAACUGCAUAGAGCUAGGUGAAAAAGCCAAAAAAGAAGACCGCAA